rnacentral:sRNA from 1 species
UUUUAAUGGCAAUGUCAUGUAAUUAAUUACAAAAAUUAAGGUUACAUUUAAAAUGUACUUCCCAAAUAAUAUAGUAGGAUGAAAGCAACUCAAAGAUGUAAAUAUUUAGGCUACAACAAUCAUAUAUAUAAAAGUAAGGUUUCACUAUCUUUAUUGGGCCACUUGACAUUUCUUUUUUAUAUUUUAUUAAAAAAAACUUAGAACAUAUUAAUCUCAUAUAACUCACUUAAAACUCAUGUGUAACUCACGGACAAAUUUCUGGAAUAUUGAUCGUUUACAAGAGCUUUUUGAUCCGGAAGAUGUCUCGUUAAUAAGUGCUUUGCACUUGGGUGCGUCAACUAAGGAAGAUAUCCUAGGUUGGCAUUUCACAAAAUCUGGAAAAUAUACAGUUAAAUCUGGAUAUCAUACGGCGAGGUUAAAAACUUUGGAUGCUAAUUUUUCUUUUUUUGGCCCAGACAUCAAAGUCUUAAAAGCAUUCUCAUGGAAAGUACAGUGUCCGCCCAAGUUACGUCACUUCUUGUGGCAAAUUUUAGCGGGAUGUGUACCACUAACGGACAAUCUAUGAAAACGCGGAAUAAACUGUGAGAUAGGAUGUAGCAGAUGUGGUGCUCUAGAAGAAACCAUUAACCACACGCUUUUUUUUAUGCCAUCCUACUCGUCAGAUUUGGGCACUUUCACAGAUACCUACGGUCCCAGGAAAAUUUCCUUCUGCAUCUAUAUAUGUAAAUUUGGAUCAUUUAUUUUGGCGCAUACCUUUGGAAUUUGAUUUAUCUUCAUUUCCAUGGAUAAUUUGGUAUAUUUGGAAAGCACGGAAUGAAAAAAUCUUUGAUAAUGUGGAUAAAGAUCCUCUAGAGAUCUUACAUUUGGCGGAAAAAGAGUCAGACUUAUGGAAGUCCGCUCAACUUGAGCUUCACAACGAAAAUUUUGGUUCUUUCAAUUUGGAAGAUCGUAAUCGAGUGCGGCAUUUUUCUUUAGACAACAAUUAUUCUGGAUAUCGUUGUUUUGUAGAUGGAUCUUGGAAAGAUACUGACAAGUUUUCAGGCUUAGGAUGGUACUGUACAUCAUCAACUGGAGAGACACCAACUUUGGGAGCUGCCAAUCUCAUAAGAAGUCUAUCUCCUUUACAUGCCGAGGUGGAAGCCCUCCUCUGGGCGAUGAAGUGUAUGAUUGGUGCCGACAACCAAGAUGUAGUUUUUCUUACAGACUGUUCAGAUCUGGUGGAGAUGGUGUCUUCCCCAACCGAAUGGCCGGCUUUCUCAUCGUAUUUGGAGGAGUUACAGAGCGACAAGGAUGAGUUCACAAACUUUUCUCUAUCUUUAAUCUCUCGUAGUACUAAUGUUAAAGCGGAUUUUUUGGCACGAAAAGUUCGUACCCAACCGCUUCAUAUUACAUUUGUAAACAACAUUCCUCAGGAUUGGCUCGUUUGAGUCCUAAUUAAUUUUCGGAUGACAAAAAAAA